rnacentral:lncRNA from 1 species
UUUUUUUUUUUGGGUUCUUUAUUGUAUGGAGUCAUCCCAUCCCCAUAACACCCCGUGAGAUGGACAGUAUCACGAGCCUCAUUUUACCGAGGAGGGCUGUGAUGAACUCAAUUGUGCCGCCCUCCCCCAACUCAUAGUUUGAAGCUAUCAGUCCCCAAUACACCUGUAUUUUGGAGACAGGGUGUUUAGGAGCUACUUAGGGUUACCUGAGGUCAUAAGAGGGGAGCUGGCGGGGCUGGAGGGGAGCGCAAUCCACUAGGGCUAAUGAGAAAAGAAAGAGACAGCAGAGUUCUCUCUCAGCACGCACACAGAGGAAAGGCCAGGUGAGGUCCCAGCAAGAAGGCAACUGUCUACAAGCCGCCAAGAGAGUUCCCUGGUGGCACCUGGAUCUUGAACUUCUCCUCUCCAGAACUGUAAGAAAAUUAACUGCUUUAAUUUAUUCUAAGUUAAAAAUAAAUGUGUAAGCCACCCAGUGUGUAGCGUCCUGUCAUAGCAGCCCAGGAUAAAACAAAGGCACUUAAGCACAGAGACAUUAAUUAAACUUCCUGAAGGUCACACAGCCGGUACGGAACAGAGGCAAGAUCUGACUUAGGGCAGUCUUUGCUUUUAACCACUAGCCUCUCUGCUUUAACUCCUCCUCCUUCUUUUUAAAAAGAUUUAUUUAUUUAGAAGAUAUUAUUUAUUUAUUCACGAGAGAUAUCCAGAGAGAGGCAGAGACACAGGCAGAGGAAGAAGCAGGCUUCCUGCGGGGAGCCUGAUGCGGGACUCGAUCCCAGGACCCCGGGAUCAUGACCUGAGCCAAAGGCAGGUGCUCAACCACUGAGCCACGCAGCGGCCCUGAACUCCUGUUUCUCUAGAAGAUGUGCAUGCGUGUGUGUGUGUGUGUGUGUGUGUGUGUGUGUGCGCGCACGCGCGUGGAGGGGCAGGAUCUCGAGAUGGAGAGAAAAUGGGGUGUCCCCUUCUUCUGGGAGGUUGACGUCUGUGGCUCCACUGCACCAGUGUGCUUCCUGGGAUGAGUAGCUUCUUUUAAGUCCAGUGAUUGUUUUGCUGAGGCAGCAUGGCUGCCUUCCAGCAUUUUCCAUAGCGUGCUGUCAGACCCCGGGGGGAUGGCCCUUGCGUGGAGCAAGAACAAGCGGCUGGCGCGAGGCAGGUGGAGCCGUCUGGCUUGUUGCGGCCGGGCGCCAGCAGCCCUGACCUCCCCUCUCGGCCUCCCCGGGUGUGUAAGCCACGGGACAAUCACAGAGGCACCGCCCGGGGAUGUCAUCGGCCAGGUCGUCAGAGCCCCGUGCAGGGGCAGGUGGUGGCCGUGCUGGCGGUGAGCACAGCAGAGCGUGCAGACUUGUCAGGUCACUAUGUUGCACACCUGGAUCGAACAUAACACGUGCAACUAUAUUGCAAAGGGGGGGGUUGUCCAUGAGGCUGAGACCUGGUAGAGCGUCUGGGAGCCCCACCGCCAGGCCGUAGCUGUGGUUUGCAGGUUCUUUUGUUCUUUCCCUUGUCGAUGAAUUAAUAAUGGGGCGAGGGUGGGAGGACACAGAAGGAAUAGCAUCGAACUGGUUUUCUCUGGGAGACCCUCGGAUGCAUUCCCGGUAAUUGUUUUGGAUUUCCAGCUCUUUCCCCUUAAAACACAUUUUAAGGAAUUGCUUUUCUUUUUUUUUUCCCCCGUAGUUGUUUGUUUGUCCCUUUGCCUUGAAGUUUCUGAAAUAUUCCACAGCGCUGUCCUUGCCAAUUCUGCAGAAGUGUUGCUGUUGCUCAGAGCCUGUUCACAGCCAAGUGGGAGAGUUUCUCCACAAACUGCCAUUUCAGUGAAAACACAGAAAAUAAAAUGCAACCAAGCACAUUACACAGAGGAGGGAGUGCUAAGUUCCCCGGCUGUGAUGCGGCCUGGCUUGUCUGGCCCUGCCUCCUUGACCUUGAGUUUCUUCGCAUUGGUUGGACACGAGUCUGCGUGUUGAGGCUUCCUCGGUCUCUUCUCCACCAUUGAAGGUUUGUCAUGGCUGGGAAAGUGUGCUGGCUCCCUAGGUCCUUUUCUGGAACCUCCUUCACCCUGCUCCCAACAUGUGUCCUCAGGUAAGAAACUAAAGAAAUUCUUUUAGUAGGAAGUUUAUUCUUACCAUUUUUUAAAGAUUUUAUUUAUUUGAAAGAAAGUGCGCACAAGCAGGGGGAGAGGCAGAGGGAGACGGACAAGCAGACUCCACGCUCAGAGCAAAGCCCCACAAUCUGAGCUGAAAUAAAAAGUCGGGUGCUCAACCCACGGGGCCACCCAGGUACCCCAAGCAGUUGUUUUUAACAUCGUCGUUCAUCUCAGGUGUCUUUCAUUUUCAAAGAAGGCUGAUGGGUUUCCCAAAUUUAGGUGAGGAUGAAUUAUGUGAGGAUUUUAUUAAGAUGUAGAUUUGGAUUCGGUGUGUCGGAGAUGGGGCCUGGGACCGUGCGUUUUCUGAAAUCGGCCGACGGUGCUGGUUUACAGACCACACUUUGAGUCACCAGAUGUAGAGAAACACUGAAUGGUUGAGUGGUUGUAGGGAAUACUAUUGGGGUGUACAUUAGUCAAGGUUAAAAACAAAUCAAAAGGAGAUAUUUACAUAUACACACUCACACACACUCACACACAGAAAGGUGUAUGGCGAGAAGGUUUAUUAUAGGAAUUAGUUCAUGUGAUUGCAGAGACUGACAAGUCCCAAGCUCUGUCAUCUGCUCGCUGGAGACCCAGGAGAGCUGAUGGUGUAAGUUUCCAUCUGAAGCCAGCAGGCUCAGCCCCAGGAAGAGCUGAAGUUUCAGUUUGAGUCUGAAGACUGGAAAAGACCAAUGUCAUAGCUUAUCCGGUCAGGAAGAGGAAAGCCUCCUUACAGAAGGGUCAGCCUUCUGGUUCUAUUCAGGCCUUCAACUGAUUGGAUGAGGCCCAUCCACGUUAAGAAGAGCAAUCUGCUUUGCUCAGUCUGUUGAUUCAAAUAUUAAUCUCGUGCAGAACAGCCUCAUAGACACACUCAGAAUAACGUCUGACCAAACGUCUGGGUACUCUGUGGCCUAGUCAAGUUGACUCAUGAGAUGAAGCACUAUGAGAGGGUGUAUCCUCUCUUGGGAGUCUUCUUCAUGGCUCUUGGGUUGUCCUUGUUUAUCUUCUUGGCAUUCUUCGGUCAGAGGAUCCAGAUGCGUCCCCUUGUCAGCCUGAUGUCCAUGGCUGGACCCGAUCUCCACGCUCUCAAGGGCAACUGUCUAUAUAACACCUGGGCCUGCCUCACGAAUUCUGGCAUAGAAACACCAGAUGACACUUUACACUUAUGUUGAACCCCAUAAGGACCUUUCACACAGCAAACACCUAGUACAACUCGUACGUGAAGGACAGGCUACAUAAUGUGAAAAUGUCGGGCUCCUUGUUCAAAACUUAGGGUUAAAAAAAUUAGGAUUUUCAAGACAGCAAUAGCAGAGCAGGAAACCAAGUGUGCAGCCCUUCUGAGUGCAGGAUCCUGUGGGAUUACAGAGAUCCUACAUCCAUUAGGCUUGCCCCUGUUCAAAUGGACACCCGGGUCAGGAACAGAGGUGACACAAGUAAGCACGUGGGCCCAUCUCUGCGGUGUAGCCUUACUAGGGAAGGCUACUUGUUGUGACUUAACUACAUUUGUAUUUCGUGAGGCUCUCAGUCAACAGUGGGGAAGAAAAUGUUGACUUGGGGCUGGAGGUGAGGUCAUGUACUAGAAACGUAAUUUCUGCUCGUUCUCUUGUCCUACACCCUUAAUUCUGCCUCCGACCGCUCCCUUUUCUCCUCUUCAUGCCAACGCUGUGUUUUCUUUAGAUGUCAACAGUGCCCUCAGGAGAUGGGAUGCUAGAACACUCUGCCAGAUGGCAUUUGUCUGUGUUUUAAUCAAAAUGCCCCCCCGCUCUUUGCCACAGUGUGAAGCAACAAGAUACUGUGUGAAGCGGACAAGAAACAGCACAAAAGCCUGCGGUAGCUUUUGAGGUCAAGAAAUGUACCCGAAGGGCGGAUGAGCUGAAUUCUGCUAACCUCCGGGGUAGCACCGUGAUUGGGGGAGAGGCUCCCCAGGUCGGCCCGAGCAGAUCCCGAGAGGCGAAGUCCUCAUGUGUUGAUGUGGGUGGGGCUCAGGGAGGGAGCCCAUGAUGGAAAGAACCCAAAGGGGUGCUUUCCUUUAUAUCCACUUCCUCCUAAUGGGCAGGGCUAAGCCUUUCUCAUAUGGUCUUGCUCAGGGUUUUCAACCAUGUAAUGAAAUACCAUUAUUCCAUUUUUUUCUUUCCUUUCUUUCCUUCCUCCCUCUUCUUUUUUUUAAAGUCCUCUCUAUGCCCAACGUGGGGCUUGAAUUCAUGACCCUGAGAUACAGACUUGCACACUCUCCCCACUGAGAGUGCAAAAUUAUUCCAUUUUGUUUUAUUUAUUUUUAAAAAGAUUUUAUUUAUUCAUUAGAGACA